rnacentral:rRNA from 1 species
GGCAGGCUUAACACAUGCAAGUCGAACGGGCGUAGCAAUACGUCAGUGGCAGACGGGUGAGUAACGCGUGGGAACGUACCUUUUGGUUCGGAACAACACAGGGAAACUUGUGCUAAUACCGGAUAAGCCCUUACGGGGAAAGAUUUAUCGCCGAAAGAUCGGCCCGCGUCUGAUUAGCUAGUUGGUGAGGUAACGGCUCACCAAGGCGACGAUCAGUAGCUGGUCUGAGAGGAUGAUCAGCCACAUUGGGACUGAGACACGGCCCAAACUCCUACGGGAGGCAGCAGUGGGGAAUAUUGGACAAUGGGGGCAACCCUGAUCCAGCCAUGCCGCGUGAGUGAUGAAGGCCCUAGGGUUGUAAAGCUCUUUUGUGCGGGAAGAUAAUGACGGUACCGCAAGAAUAAGCCCCGGCUAACUUCGUGCCAGCAGCCGCGGUAAUACGAAGGGGGCUAGCGUUGCUCGGAAUCACUGGGCGUAAAGGGUGCGUAGGCGGGUCUUUAAGUCAGAGGUGAAAGCCUGGAGCUCAACUCCAGAACUGCCUUUGAUACUGAGGAUCUUGAGUUCGGGAGAGGUGAGUGGAACUGCGAGUGUAGAGGUGAAAUUCGUAGAUAUUCGCAAGAACACCAGUGGCGAAGGCGGCUCACUGGCCCGAUACUGACGCUGAGGCACG